ensembl:lncRNA
CCCAGCACAAGGGUCCCAGGUGAGAUGGGGACAGGUGACAUUGAGUGCAGUGUGCUCUGCUUACCAAGCCCGUGGCACUGUCCACCACCCAGAGUGACUUCCUGUUCUUAACUCAGAACGCACCAAAGAAGUUUUAAUUACGUCAGCCUUGAAGCACAGCCCGGAGCAGUGGCCAGACUGGGGAAGGAGCCUCUCAUGGUGACUCACCACCAUCCUCCCCUGAGUAAUGGUCUGUGGGUGCCAUCACUCACUUGUGCUGACACACAGGACUGGACAGAGUUGCUCCCGAGUCAGCAGCUAAGUGGCUCCAUACAGGCCCCCAGUGCAGGGCCUUAGAGGCUGAAAGGGUUGGCAUCAUAGAGGACAAAAGGAAAGCCCCCUAAAGGGGAAAAAGGACUCUGUGCUCUGGAUAUUUUGUUCCAAAGAUUCUUCAAUAUAGCUGCC